CCUACGGGAGGCAGCAGUGGGGAAUAUUGCACAAUGGGGGAAACCCUGAUCCAGCGACGCCGCGUGAGUGAUGAAGUAUUUCGGUAUGUAAAGCUCUAUCAGCAGGGAAGAAAAUGACGGUACCUGACUAAGAAGCCCCGGCUAACUACGUGCCAGCAGCCGCGGUAAUACGUAGGGGGCAAGCGUUAUCCGGAUUUACUGGGUGUAAAGGGAGCGUAGACGGUUCAGCAAGUCGGAUGUGAAAGCUCGGGGCCCAACCCCGGGACUGCAUUGGAAACUGUAGGACUGGAGUGUCGGAGAGGCAGGCGGAAUUCCUAGUGUAGCGGUGAAAUGCGUAGAUAUUAGGAGGAACACCAGUGGCGAAGGCGGCCUGCUGGACUAUAACUGACGUUGAGGCUCGAAAGCGUGGGGAGCAAACAGGAUUAGAUACCCUAGUAGUC
rnacentral:rRNA from 1 species